rnacentral:rRNA from 1 species
AUUGAACGCUGGCGGCAGGCCUAACACAUGCAAGUCGAGCGGAGCGGCGGACGGGUGAGUAAUGCCUAGGAAUCUGCCUGGUAGUGGGAGAUAACGUCCGGAAACGGGCGCUAAUACCGCAUACUAUCAGAUGAGCCUAGGUGGGAUUAGCUAGUUGGUGGGGUAAAGGCCUACCAAGGCGUCGAUCCGUAACUGGUCUGAGAGGAUGAUGAGUCACACGGGAACGGAGAAACGGGCAAAACUCCUACGGUCCGCAGCAGUCGGGAAUCUUGGACAAUGGGCGAAAGCCGGAUCCAGCCAUGCCGCGUGUGGGAAGAAGGUCUUCGGAUUGUAAAGCACUGUAAGUUUGUAGGCGGUACCAACAGAAUCAGCACCGUCUAACUUCGCGCCAGCAGCCGCGGUAAUAC